AGAGAAUCACCGUGACUCAGGGGAGAAGGAUGGGACAUAAGAGCUGCAGGAGAGAAAGCUGAUCGGCCAUCUGCACAACGCCAGACGUUUCUACUCGCCUCUUGAUUCGGGAAGAUCCAGUUUGAUGAUGAGACAUUUUCUCUUGAAUUGUAGUACAGCAACUGAAGGAGAUGGAGAGAGUUAAGAUAAUAAAUUCAGACAGAAAAGCUGUAAAGUAAAAUGAUGGUUAAAUAGCCUCCUUGCCUGGGGCGUACAUUAGGGAACAAAUUUGUGACCUUUGAUAAUCCAUCCACCAAAAAGCUUAUGAAAUAGUCUUGCCAGUGACCUUCAGGAGAGUGACCUUCAGGAGAAUAAGAGCAUCUACACAGGCCGAGGUUCUGUUUUUAUAGGUUCAAAAUUAAGGACCACAAGAAGAACAAAGGACGAGAACUGUUUUGAAAUCUGCACAAAUGGAUCAGUAAUGGAAUUUUCCUCAAAUUUCAUGUACAAAGCAGCUGUUGCCGGAAGGAUGCUACAGAGUAAGGGCUCUAAGUGCCUUCCCUUGCACUCCCCUGGUAUCAUUCUCAGGAGAUCAGUCUUUGAUCUCUUUGAAACACAUUCAUCACUGAGUUAUCCAACACAUGCUUGCAUGCGGCAUUUUUGUGGGCAUUGAGAAUUCAAGGUGAAGAAGAUGUUUGAUGCCCUUGGCGUCGAGGCCUUCAGUCUUACUAUCAUAGGCAUUAUAACAGAAAUACCUGUAGGAUGUGACAGGUGUGAGAGUGUGCAACCUCACUGGGACUGCACCUUCGGUGAGGAUAGAAGAGAAACCACCUCCAUAUUAAAUGUGCAGCAAUGGUU
rnacentral:lncRNA from 1 species